rnacentral:misc_RNA from 1 species
GGGGGGUGAGACAAGAACGAAGCAACGUCAGCAGUAGCUGGAACAGUAUUAAUCCAGACACCACGCUCGCUACAUCUCUCCAGCCACCACGCCACCACCGACCCCUCGAGUGUACGCAGCCCAGUGUCCGUCUGUGUCUUGUCGUGGGCGUGACGUUCAGCAGCGGCAGGAACAGCAACGGGAAACUUGAUCUGCGUGGGUUUUCGUGCGGCGGGGUGACGUGCCGCUGCUGUGAGGUUAUCGGACCACAGCACAGCACAGCACAGCACAGAGGAGGAGAGAAUAGGUACCAGAAUCGGCGAAAAGAAUGAGUGGACAAGAUUUCCUAACGUAACGAGGCUGGUGUUUCAAGGCGUUGACGAUCCAAAGGCCUGACUCCACAGCGGUAAUGAGCCUCGUCUACCUUGCACUUAACGGACAAUGCUCACUACCAACACUCUGCCUCCGCCACCGCCACUGCCGCCGUUGAGGGAGACUGGCUGGAUGAGUGGGUGAUAGAGGCGAGGCAGGUGUGGUGAGGCGGAGGAUUGGAGACGAGAACCUACAGAUGACGGCAGACACGGAAGAUUCCACUAACCAGGAGUUGGUGAUCCGAAGCCGUGACUGCAGCGAUCCCGUGCGUCCUGCACCAUCAGGAAGGACUCUCUGGCUUCGCACUGCGCCUACAUUGACCGUUGCCGCUGCUACCGCUACUCGGAGGGGCACUGCCUCGCAUUGGGCCUUCACUGCCGUCCCGCUAAUACACGUGUCGCCGUCGCAGCUACUGGCACUGAGGGACUUCGCCUCGCAGCGGCCUGGCAAACACCUGCUACACCACCACCACCACCACCACCACCACCGGAGUCCAGAGAUUCAGCUUCGCAUAGCAGACAUCCUCCUAUUCAACGCUUGCUGCCACUACCACCUCAUUAUGGUGGUGUCACUGUACUUGGAUCUGUUGUCACUACUGAAUAAUAAUGUGUAAAGAAA